UAGGGAAUCUUCCACAAUGGACGCAAGUCUGAUGGAGCAACGCCGCGUGAGUGAAGAAGGUUUUCGGAUCGUAAAGCUCUGUUGUUGGUGAAGAAGGAUAGAGGUAGUAACUGGCCUUUAUUUGACGGUAAUCAACCAGAAAGUCACGGCUAACUACGUGCCAGCAGCCGCGGUAAUACGUAGGUGGCAAGCGUUGUCCGGAUUUAUUGGGCGUAAAGCGAGCGCAGGCGGAAGAAUAAGUCUGAUGUGAAAGCCCUCGGCUUAACCGAGGAACUGCAUCGGAAACUGUUUUUCUUGAGUGCAGAAGAGGAGAGUGGAAUUCCAUGUGUAGCGGUGGAAUGCGUAGAUAUAUGGAAGAACACCAGUGGCGAAGGCGACUCUCUGGUCUCCAACUGACGCUGAGGCUCGAAAGCAUGGGUAGCGAACAGG
rnacentral:rRNA from 1 species